rnacentral:lncRNA from 1 species
CAGCUGGUUUUCCAUUAAAUUGAAAUCAGAACCGGUAUAACCACUAGUACAUUGAAUGCAGAAAAUAAAGCUUCUUUUGCAAUCUCAUCUGCUCUUCGAUUUUUAUCUCUAGGAACAAAACAGAAUCUGAUAAAAUCAAAAGUUAAAGAUAGGGAGAGGAUGUCGUGGAGAAUCCCGUAGAGCUCCUUCGAUUGAAGCUCCAAAUUUAGUGCUUUGAUCAGCUGUUGCGAAUCUGAAGCAAGCGAAAGUUUUUUGUAACCAAGAUCUCUGGCUUGAUGGAUCGCGUGAAGCAUCGCCAGCGCCUCUGCCAUUAACGGAGAUCGAACGUUGGAAGCAGAAGAUCUACCAUGGCGCUCUGUGUUACAGAGGAAAUCAGAGAAGUGCCAACCAAAUCCCGCCUCUUUUGUCUCAGCUUUCCAAGCGGCGUCUGUGAACCCUCGGAUUGUAUCUAAUCCAAUCUCUUCGAUCUGGUACGGGAGUCGUAAUUGAGGAGAUUGGGGUGAUACAAGUUGAGAAGCACACCAUUCCCGAGCUUGGGAAACAGCCUGAGCCACCGCUUCGAAGUUUGUAAUUUGUCUCUUCUCAAAGAUGCGCUUAUUUCGGGAGAUCCAAAUCGUCCAUAGUAUCCAUGGCAAAAGGGGGACGUCUCCGAGUCCUGUAGGAGGCAAAUUGGUCAGGAGCUUCGAAGUUUCUAGACCUUUCCUCAGCGACGUGAUUUGGGAAGAGCAGAAUGAAGUCUUGAAGGGAGAUUUGUCCCAAAUUGAGCUUGCGAAGCUGCAAUGAAAAAACAGAUCUCUCGGAGCCAGUCGAACUCAACAACUGGAGGGUUUAGAAGCGGCCUCUCCUCCCGCAAGUUCGCAACAAGAUAGCCUGUCUUUGCAGAAUAUUCUCCGGACUUGGUAACAACAAUUGAAUUAUCUCUUUAAUCCAGGAGUUAGAAGAAGGACAUAUAAGGUCUGCCACUGUUAGUUCCUGAGAGAACUGAGUUGCUGGUCCCAUUGGGGUGACUGGUUUAGAAAGGGAGAUCCAUGGUUCUUGCCAAAUCUUAGAGUCUUUGCCAGUGCCAAUAGCUCUGCCAAGCUGAGUCUUAAGCAGAUCUCUUCCAAGACAUAUUCCACGCCACCCAUGCGAUGCAUUAUUGGAAACUUUGCAGUCUAGGAAGGAUGAUGAUUGGCAGUAUUUACCAAGGAGAACCUUUGCCAACAUAGAUGAAGGUUUAGUGAGUAGUCUCCAGCUCACUUUGGCUAGUAAAGCAUCAUUGAAACUAGGGAAGAGUCCCACCAGAAACGUGUUAGAGCUGAUUGGAUGCGUUUGCAGAGAGAACCCGGGAGCUUGAAACAUGACAUUGUAUAGGUGGGCAUUGCCACUAGGACUGCUUUUAACAUGGUUGCUUUUCCUGCAGUGGAGAGAAACCUAGAAGACCAGCUCUUAGCUCUCUGUCUUAUGCGGUCGAUGAUGAAAUUAAACAUAUCCUUCUUCUUUCUGCCAAACAGCUCAGGAUUAGCAUAAGGUUCUGACAGCUUUGGACAUCGAAUUUACAGAAGAACAUAGUGUCAUCUGCAAAGAGUAGAUGUUUUAAUCGGGGACUGCCUUUUGCCACUCUUACACCAAGUAAGUCUCCAUUCUGUUGUGCCUUCUGACAAAGUCCAGAGAGGACCUCACUGCAUAGAAUGAAAAUAUAGGGUGAUAGUGGAUCCCCUUGUCUUAUUCCUCUCUGUGGUUUGACUGAACCUUGAGCUGCUCCAUUUAGUAAGAAAGAGUAAGACACUGAAGUAAUGCAUUGCAUUAUCCACUCAACCCAUUUUUGGUGAAAACUCAUUUUUUCCAUAACAAGUCUGAUAAACUCUCACUCAAUGCGAUUAUAUGCUUUGCUCAUGUCAGUUUUAACAGCCAUAUAACACCUCUUCUUUGCUCCUGAUGUUUUUAUGUAGUGUAGGACCUCAUGUGUUAUCAGCACAUUAUCAGUAAUGCAACUUUUAUAAAAUAUAAUUUAUAUUAAUUUACUUCGAAUAACCUAAAUUAGUCAAAAGCCAUUAGAUAUAUUUGAGUGAUUAUGAAUAUAGUUAGAGGUUUGGCUCUCCUCCUACAUAGCCACCUAAUCAAAAAAAGUUUACAUUAAAAUCUAUUGAAAACGUUCAUUUAACUUUAACCAAAAAAUACCAAACUAUUACAUAUAAUUAGAAGUAUAAGUUAAUCAAAUACCAAAAAAUAGUAAAAAGAUGAAAAAUAAAAAUAGUAAUGACAAUUGUAAAAAAAUUGACAAUAAUCAUCUAUUUCAUUCAAUGUUUUAAAUUGGAACCUAU